GCCCAGGAAGCCUCUUCCUCAGACAUGCUGCUGCUGCUACUGCUGCCCCUGCUGUGGGCAGGGGCCCUGGCUAUGGAUCCAAAUAUCUGGCUGCAAGUGCAGGAGUCAGUGACGGUACAGGAGGGUUUGUGUGUCCUCGUGCCCUGCACUUUCUCCCAUCCCAUACCCUACCACACCAGGAAUUCCCCAGUUCAUGGUUACUGGUUCCGGGAAGGAGCCAUUGUAUCCUGGGACUCUCCAGUGGCCACAAACAAGCUAGAUCAAGAAGUACAGGAGGAGACUCAGGGCCGAUUCCGCCUCCUUGGGGAUCCCAGUAGGAACAACUGCUCCCUGAGCAUCAUAGAUGCCAGGAGGAGGGAUAAUGGUUCAUACUUCUUUCGGAUGGAGAGAGGAAGUAUCAAAUACAGUUACAAAUCUCCCCAGCUCUCUGUGCAUGUGACAGACUUGACCCACAGGCCCAAAAUCCUCAUCCCUGGCGCCCUAGACCCCGGCCACUCCAAAAACCUGACCUGCUCUGUGCCCUGGGCCUGUGAGCAGGGAACACCCCCGAUCUUCUCCUGGUUGUCAGCUGCCCCCACCUCCCUGGGCCCCAGGACUACUCACUCCUCGGUGCUCAUAAUCACCCCACGGCCCCAGGACCACGGCACCAACCUGAUCUGUCAGGUGAAGUUCCCUGGAGCUGGUGUGACUACGGAGAGAAUCAUCCAGCUCAAUGUCACCUAUGCUCCACAGAAUCCAACAACUGGUAUCUUUCUAGGAGAUGGCUCAGGGAAACAAGAGACCAGAGCAGGAGUGGUUCAUGGGGCCAUCGGAGGAGCUGGUAUUACAGCCCUGCUUGCUCUUUGUCUCUGCCUCAUCUUCUUCAUAGUGAAGACCCACAGGAGGAAAGCAGCCAGGACAGCAGUGGGCAGGAAUGACACCCACCCUGCCACAGGGCCAGCCUCCCCGAAACACCAGAAGAAGUCCAAGUUACAUGGCCCCACUGAAACCUCAAGCUGUUCAGGUGCCGCCCCUACUGUGGAGAUGGAUGAGGAGCUGCAUUAUGCUUCCCUCAACUUUCAUGGGAUGAAUCCUUCCAAGGACACCUCCACCGAAUACACAGAGGUCAGGACCCAGUGAGGAACCUACAAGAGCAUUGGGCUCAGCUAGAAGAUCCACAUCCUCUACAGGUCGGGGACCAAAGGCUGAUUCUUGGAGAUUUAACACCCCACAGGCAAUGGGUUUAUAGACGUUAUGCUCCCUCUCCUCUGGGGACUGUGAGCUCCACCGGCCACAGUAUGAAAUACCUCAAGGCCCAAGUACAAGUUCUUCUCCAGCAUGAAGCAUCCUUCAACUUCGCACUACUGGGACGAAUCUGGAACUCCCCUCUCUGGGAUCCCACAGGCUCCUACCCAUCUCUCCACCACAGCUAUACUCCCAGGAUCUAGAAUCUGUUAAAAUUGUCUUAAUGAAGGCAGUAGAAGGCAGCAAUUAAAAUUUUCACUUCCUUCACAGUAGCCAAAAAUUGGAAGCAACCCAAAUGUCCAUCAACUAAUGAAGAAUAAACAAAAUCUGGUACAUUCCUGCAAUGCAUAUCAUUCAGACAUAAAGAAGGACAGAAGUACGGAUACAUGCUACAACAUGUAUGAACUUCGAAAACAUCACACCAAGUGAAAGAAGCCAGAUACUAAAGAUCACGUAUCAUAUGAUUCCAUUGAUAUGAAAUGUCUAGAAUAGGAAAUAUAUUUCUGGAGGCAGAAAGCAGAUUGGUGGUUACCAGGGGCUUCAAGGAGGGCAGUGACUGCUUAGUGAGUACACGCUUUCCUUUUGGGGUAAUGAAAAUGUUUAGAACCAAAUAGAGGUUGUGGUUACACAACAUUGUGCAUGUACUAAAUGCCACUGAGUUGUUUACUUUAACAUGGUUCAUUGUAUGUAAUGUGAUUUUACUUCAAUAAAAAAAAUAAUAAUAA